GAUGAACGCUAGCGGGAGGCUUAAUACAUGCAAGUCGAACGGCAACAGGCCGAACCUAGUUUGGUGCUGACGAGUGGCGCACGGGUGAGUAACGCGUACACAACCUACCCUUAAGAGGGGAAUAGCCCUGGGAAACUGGGAAUAAUACCCCAUGUGGUUAUUGAAAGGCAUCUUUCGAUAAUUAAAGUUGAGGCGCUUAAGGAUGGGUGUGCGUCCUAUUAGGUAGUUGGUGAGGUAGAGGCUCACCAAGCCGACGAUAGGUAGGGGGCGUGAGAGCGUGGCCCCCCACACGGGUACUGAGACACGGACCCG
rnacentral:rRNA from 1 species